rnacentral:rRNA from 1 species
GAUGAACGCUGGCGGCGUGCCUAAUACAUGCAAGUCGAGCGAACAGACGAGGAGCUUGCUCCUCUGACGUUAGCGGCGGACGGGUGAGUAACACGUGGAUAACCUACCUAUAAGACUGGGAUAACUUCGGGAAACCGGAGCUAAUACCGGAUAAUAUAUUGAACCGCAUGGUUCAAUAGUGAAAGACGGUUUUGCUGUCACUUAUAGAUGGAUCCGCGCCGCAUUAGCUAGUUGGUAAGGUAACGGCUUACCAAGGCAACGAUGCGUAGCCGACCUGAGAGGGGGUUCGGCCACCGUGGAGCUGAGCCGCGGUCCAGGCUCCGACGGGAGGCAGCAGUAGGGAAGCUUCCGCAAUGGGCGAAAGCUUGACGGAGCAACGCCGGGUGAGUGAUGAAGGGCUUCGGAUCGUAAAACGCUGUUAUGAGGGAAGAACAAAUGUGUAAGUAACGAUGCACGUCUGGACGGUACCGAAGCAGAAAGCCCCGGCAAACUACGG